GUACGUGAAUGACAUACAUCGACUAAGUUUUUCAAAUCUUUUAGUUAUAUCCUUAUGGCAUGAGAUAACCUUUUUGCUUUUUGUCUUAUUUUUCUUGAAUUGAACUGAAUUCUUCAGCUUGAAGCAUGGUAUUCUUUAUUAUAUUAUGAGUGUUGAUUUAUUUUAAUUAUGAGCGAAUGUCCAAAUAUUUUAUAGUGACUAUUUUGUAUUUUUUCACUGAAAGUAGGCUAAAAGAUUUAUAUUUCGGAAAAUAAAUGUAAGAAAAUAAGCGUAGGAAGGAAGCCUUUUCCAGGUUUGUCGACUAUGGCCAUGGACACCGUUGCCGUUUCGAUUUUUCGAAUAUUGCAGAAUUGCAGACGACAUCUGUGCAGUUCUCUUCCGACAGUGACAGCCCUAAUUCACGCAGCACAUAGCGAGCGUGCAGCGAGUGUACGACGAAAAAACUCUACAACCCACAAAACCGGAAGCCAAACUGCACUUUUUGCGAGUUCUUUUCAUUUGGAUUUUAAGGGUUUCAUCAAUUGCACAUAACUGUUUUCCUAGUUUGACUAAAUAUCAAAUUGGAUUGAGAGUAUACUUUGCUGUCGUGGUUCCAUUUUAGUCCUGACUUGUUGCUUCAAUUUAGUGUGUUGUUUCAUCUUGUUCUGGGCAUUUCCUGUGCUAAAGAAUGCCACUCCGGUUAGAGUGUUAGGCCAUUUCAAGCGAUUCACAAGAGCAUUCACAAGACUUCAUUCCUCCAUAGUAAUUUUUUAAAAAGUUUCUAAAUUUGCAUUUCAGACUUGAUGAGAAGUCAUGACAUUUCAAGAAAAAGGACAAGGACUAUACAGUCAAUAAGGUUCCUUGUUUGCCAACCUAUUGGCUGCUACCCUUGGUUCUCCAUUUUUACUUCCUCCCUCUUGAUUUGAGGUAAUGAAUGAUUGGAAUCGAUACCAUUCUGUCUCGACACCGAAAUUCUUUGGAACGAGAAUUGAGGUUGUGAUGUGCUAGUAAUGCUACAGCAUAAAGGGCAUCACCCGUCAACAAAGUGCUUAGUUUGUUAACCCGUUGACUUCUACACAACACUUUAAAUCCCCAUCCUUCCGCUCUUAUUUUGAGGUAAAUCUUGCGCCGCUAAUCCAUAUAGGCUGAAUCCAUUGGUGGAAACUGAAAAGGGAUCAGUGACGACUGACUGACGUGUUGUCAUCAGCAAUACUGCUCACAUAGUGCCAUCCUUCCAUUGCCCCCGAGGCGUGGUGCCUGCUCCAGCUUCGCGGCCAGAAUAAUUUGACUUCGACUACCCAACCGACGGCCUGGUGGGUCAACUCACCCUUCACUGACUAUCCUUCUACCCCUGCUCUCAACACAGCACGGAGUUUCUCGAGGACGACGAGAUCAUGGUUUUGAUGGGGAGAAUAUGUUGUUUCUAAAAUUUGCAUGACAGUCGUCAUGAGAUGUAAUGGCCUUAAUCAAGAAAGUCUACAAAGUCCUUUGUUUGCUAACCCAAUGGCUGCUCAAAAAAUCUCCCCUUUACUGCCUUACACAGGCCCUCUUGA
rnacentral:lncRNA from 1 species